UCGUCUGUGACAAGAGGAAGCCUGUUUGA
rnacentral:piRNA from 1 species